rnacentral:misc_RNA from 1 species
AACCAUUCUCACCUGCGGCUAGACCUGCGGAAGGAUCAUUACCGAGUUUACAACUCCCAAACCCCUGUGAACAUACCUAUACGUUGCCUCGGCGGAUCAGCCCGCGCCCCGUAAAAAGGGACGGCCCGCCCGAGGACCCCUAAACUCUGUUUUUAGUGGAACUUCUGAGUAAAACAAACAAAUAAAUCAAAACUUUUAGCAAUGGAUCU